UACGGGGGGGGCAAGCGUUGUUCGGAAUUACUGGGCGUAAAGGGCUCGUAGGUGGCCAACUAAGUCAGACGUGAAAUCCCCAGGCUUAACCUGGGAACUGCGUCUGAUACUGGAUGGCUUGAAUUCGGGAGAGGGAUGCAGAAUUCCAGGUGUAGCGGUGGAAUGCGCAGAUAUCAGGAGGAACACCGAUGGCGAAGGCAGUUCUCUGGGCCGUAACUGACGCUGAGGAGCGAAAGCGUGGGGAGCGAACAGG
rnacentral:rRNA from 1 species